rnacentral:ncRNA from 2 species
UUAAAAAGCUCGUAGUUGAACCU